rnacentral:lncRNA from 1 species
CUCAGGCAUUUUUUGUAUUCAUCAACAGAAUUUAAUGGGCACAUACUUUUCAGUGACUUUUCUUUAUGAUAUGUUUAUUCCUUACAGGAUAGGGAUAUGAGGAUGGAUCUGAUAAAAAAGAAUUAAAAAGUAUCUGCAUUAAGACCCUAUUCAACAAAUGCAUAUGGCUAUUAACCAAAGUCAAUAUAAUAAAUGCAGGAAGGAAAACACAUUCAAACCCUUCAAUUGAAGCUAUGUGGGCUGCACAAUUAUAAAGCAUAUUUACUAAUAAAGUGAAACCUGAGAUUAUACAGCAUGAACGUGCUAGAUUGUAGCCAAUGUUCUAUAUUCAGCUGUAAUCUAAACAUACCCAUAUGAAUUCCAACUGAAAGCAGGAAAAUGUCUUCGAAGUAUCCUCUAUUUCCAAUGCAUUGCCAAAUUCUCUCUUCUAAUUUUUCAUUUCAUAAAGUAUACAGAGCUAACCAUCCUUGGAUUCUCAAUCAACAUGAAAUAGCUAACCACUUGAAACUGGGCUUGGAAAAGCUCAUUUGCAUUUGUGCAGCAAGGCUGGAGAAUAAACCAAGCAAAUGCGUCUAUUUGUGUACUUCAAUAUAUGACUGUGCUUGCUUCAAUCAAGACUUAUUUUCAGUAUCAUGGCCAACAAAAGCAUUAAACGAGUUUUCUCC